GAUGAAGAAAGUAGCGAAAUGCGAUAAGUGAUGUGAAUUGCAGAAUUCAGUGAAUCAUCGAAUCUUUGAACGCACAUUGCGCCCGCUAGUAUUCUGGCGGGCAUGCCUGUCCGAGCGUCAUUUCAACCCUCAAGCCCCCGGGCUUGGUGUUGGGGAUCGGCGAGCCUCCGCGCCCGCCGUCCCCUAAAUCUAGUGGCGGUCUCGCUGUAGCUUCCUCUGCGUAGUAGCACACCUCGCACUGGGAAACAGCGCGGCCACGCCGUUAAACCCCCAACUUCUGAACGUUUGACCUCGGAUCAGGUAGGAAUACCCGCUGAACUUAAGCAUAUCAAUAAGCGGAGGA
rnacentral:misc_RNA from 1 species